UUUCGCAAUGCCCGAAAGGGUGACGAAGCAACGCCGCGUGGGUGAGGAAGGCCUUCGGGUUGUAAAGCCCUGUCAGGAGUUAAGAAAUGUAGAUACGCUAAUAUCGUAUCUAUUUGACAAAGGCUCCAAAGGAAGCCACGGCUAACUCUGUGCCAGCAGCCGCGGUAACACAGAGGUGGCAAGCGUUGUUCGGAAUUAUUGGGCGUAAAGAGCACGUAGGUGGAUUUGUAAGUCAGACGUGAAAGCCUUCUGUUCAACGGAAGAAUUGCAUCUGAAACUGCAAACCUUGAGUAUAGGAGGGGAGAAUGGAACUUCUGGUGGAGCGGUGAAAUGCGUAGAUAUCAGAAGGAACGCCGGCGGCGAAAGCGAUUCUCUGGCCUAUUACUGACACUCAGUGUGCGAAAGCUAGGGGAGCAAACGGGAUUAGAUACCCCGGUAGUCCUAGCCGUAAACGAUGGGCACUAAGUAGAGGGGUUUU
rnacentral:rRNA from 1 species